rnacentral:misc_RNA from 1 species
UUGAUUUUUUAUUUUUAAAUUUUAAAGGAAGCAUUUUUCAAACUUUAGUUACCCUUUAAAGCAUGCAGGAAAUAUUAAACUAAAACAUAAUAGUGUAUGCAAGUGAAUCUUAAGCAAAAGUCACUACAGGAAAGUCUGCCUACACAUGAUAAUUUGUGAUUCUUAGCUCUAUCAAAGAUCUAUCUAUUACCCUACAAAUCAGACUUCCAUGACCCAUCACUUCUAUUAAUCAUUUACAUAUCAUUUGUUUAAUAUUAGCUGAUCAAGAUCAAUUACAGACUUGUGAUUCACAUUAUCAGAAUUUGUGAUUACUCUAUUCUCAGUUAUGUCAGUCAUCCAUUUUAGAGAUUUAGAUAGCAUAUUUUCACAAAAUCUUGCUAGUUCCAACAUAAUGUUUUCACUUGAGUGUGUAAUUAGCAUUAGAUGCAGCUAGUACAGUCGUCUUCUUCUUCCUUAUCAAAGUCCAAACACUUGCUUACAUGUUACCCUUCUUUGCAUAAUUUAGGCCAACGAGAUCCCCUUACCUCCUUGCAAAAUCAUAGAAACAACCUCCUUAGUAAAACCGCAAGCUAAAACAAGUGGUGAUUUCAUUCAUCAUCCAAGUUUCAUAGAAUAGAGCACUCCUCUCUCAAGAGAGACAACCACUGUCCUUUUCCACAUCAAUCACUGGUUCUUUUCCAGUACCCAUUACACAUAGAACAAAAAGAGAGGUGCUAUUUGUUCAGGACAAAAAUGGAUCAAAAGAGGUUAAAAAUGACACCCCAAAAAAUUAUCCUCAAAUCCACUUAUCUCAUUAAGCUCUCUAAUCCCAUCAAAACACUCAAAUCGCAAUCAACCCAAAAAGAUAAAACCAAAAGAAAGAAGCAAACUUUUCUACAAAUCUGUAUGCAAUAAUUGCGUAGGAUCCCUAAUAAACAUCAUAUCAUACUCGCAAAGAAUUCAUACCUGAAAAGCCGGUUUAACGGUU